UACGUAGGGCGCAAGCGUUGUCCGGAAUUAUUGGGCGUAAAGGGCUCGUAGGCGGUUUGUCGCGUCGGGAGUGAAAACACUGGGCUUAACCGAGUGCUUGCUUCCGAUACGGGCAGACUUGAGGCAUUGAGGGGAGAACGGAAUUCCUGGUGUAGCGGUGAAAUGCGCAGAUAUCAGGAGGAACACCGGUGGCGAAGGCGGUUCUCUGGCAAUGUUCUGACGCUGAGGAGCGAAAGUGUGGGGAGCGAACAGG
rnacentral:rRNA from 1 species